rnacentral:lncRNA from 1 species
AAUUGUCCGAGUCGCCUCCUAUCAACAGCGGUUAAAUCUUACUACGACAAAAGAGCCAAGAUAAGACAGUUUCAACUAGGCAACCUUGUGCUAAGAAAGGCCUUCAUCACUUCGCAAAGGCAAGGAUCCAAAAAGAUGAAACCCAAUUGGGAAGGCCCUUACAUGAUCAGCCGGUCUGGGGGCAAAAGGAGCUAUACACUUGACACCAUAGAUGGAAAGGAAAUUCCACGACAAUGGAAUGCCUACCACCUUCAAAGAUAUUAUCCAUGACACUUCCUCCUACCUGCUCAGCUCCAAGCAGAUGACUGAGCACUGCACAUUUCUGAAGAAGAGAAGCAAUUACUAGAAGUUCCUGGUUCUUUAUUUAGUUAUUUCCAUUUCGAAUAAAGCGAUGUAAUCUCAUGAACAUCAAUAAAAGUUCAGUUUCUCAUUCCAGAGUGUCCACCAAAAAAAAAAAAACGGUUGCCCAUAAGCAGCGUCCUUCGGCAGACGCAGGGCGACGACCAGAAUCGUCCUACGGGAGAUGAGCUCGCAAAAAAGCGUCUACAAGGAGAUGUAGGGUGAGCCAGGAAUUUCCUAAAGGGAGGUCUUUAUACUUCCUGAGGGAGGUAUGCAGGUUCCUAUUCUUUUUCUAAGGGAGGCAGGAUAGUCAUACAGUUGCCCAUAAGGAGCGUCCAAAGGAAGACGCAGGGCGACGACCAGAAGCGUAUUUCAGGAGACGCAACCCACAAAGAAGCAUCCUAAGGGAGACGCAGGGUGCGCCAGGAAUUUCCUAAAAAAAGGUCUCCAUGCUUCAUGAGAGAGGUAUCCAGGUUCCUAUUCAUUUCCUAAGGGAGGCAGGAUAGUUAUACAGUUGCCCAUAAGGAAGGUCCUUCUGAAGACACAGGGCGAAAACUAGAAGCAUCCUAUGAGAGACGCAGCCCGUACAGAAGCGUCCUAAGGGAGAUGCAGGGUGCGCCAGGAAUUUCCUAAAAGGUGGUCUCCAUGCUUCAUAAAAGAGGUAUCCAGGUUCCUAUCCGUUUUCUAAAGGGGGCAGGAUAGUCAUACACCUGCCCAUAAGGAGCGGCUUAAGAGAGAAGUAGGGAGACAACCAAAGCAUCCUCCGAGAGAUGCAGAAUACGCCCGGAGUCCCUCAAAGAGGGCCCUGGAUUUUUUCAAUAUCCUAAGGGAAAGUUACAGCCAAGCCACUAGCCGAUUACUCAAGCAAUUGACAAGACAAUAUGCAAAUUGAAGUUGAAAAAAUAAUAACUGAAAUUUUCAUAGCAAAGUGACCAACUGACCAAGUUUAAACAAAAAGCAGAUGGUCAAACAAGACCAAUUAUUCUAUAAAUAAAAAAUAAAAAAUAAACAGACUAUAAACGCUGAAAAGAAAUAAAGGAAUCUUCAUCUACUCCAAGACGC